rnacentral:lncRNA from 1 species
CUCUUUCCAAAUAUGGUAACACCCUUUAGAGGAGUAACCCUAAGGAAUACAUGACUACCUACUUCAUACUCCAGGUCCCUUCUUCGAGUGUCUGUAGAACUUUUUUCUCUACUCUGAGUUAUUUGGAUAUUCUUGAUAUUGACAAUCUUCACCAUAGUCUCGUCCACAAAAUCAGGACCAAUUAAUUUUCUCUCUCCCUAUUUUUUCCCAACAGAUUGGGGACCUACAAGGUCGACAAUAUAGUGUUUUAUAAGGUGCCAUGUCGAU